rnacentral:misc_RNA from 1 species
GAUCAUUACCCGAGUGAGGGCCCUCUGGGUCCAACCUCCCACCCGUGUCUAUCGUACCUUGUUGCUUCGGCGGGCCCGCCGUUUCGACGGCCGCCGGGGAGGCCUUGCGCCCCCGGGCCCGCGCCCGCCGAAGACCCCAACAUGAACGCUGUUCUGAAAGUAUGCAGUCUGAGUUGAUUAUCGUAAUCAGUUAAAACUUUCAACAACGGAUCUCUUGGUUCCGGCAUCGAUGAAGAACGCAGCGAAAUGCGAUAAGUAAUGUGAAUUGCAGAAUUCAGUGAAUCAUCGAGUCUUUGAACGCACAUUGCGCCCCCUGGUAUUCCGGGGGGCAUGCCUGUCCGAGCGUCAUUGCUGCCCUCAAGCACGGCUUGUGUGUUGGGCCCCCGUCCCCCUCUCCCGGGGGACGGGCCCGAAAGGCAGCGGCGGCACCGCGUCCGGUCCUCGAGCGUAUGGGGCUUUGUCACCUGCUCUGUAGGCCCGGCCGGCGCCAGCCGACACCCAACUUUAUUUUUCUAAGGUUGACCUCGGA